rnacentral:rRNA from 1 species
CAGUAGCCGCGGUAAUACGAAGGGUGCAAGCGUUAAUCGGAAUUACUGGGCGUAAAGCGUGCGUAGGCGGUUUGUUAAGUCUGUUGUGAAAUCCCCGGGCUCAACCUGGGAAUGGCAAUGGAUACUGGCAAGCUAGAGUGUGUCAGAGGAUGGUGGAAUUCCCGGUGUAGCGGUGAAAUGCGUAGAGAUCGGGAGGAACAUCAGUGGCGAAGGCGGCCAUCUGGGACAACACUGACGCUGAGGCACGAAAGCGUGGGGAGCAAACAGGAUUAGAGACCCGCGUAGUCCCUGUCUCUUAUAC